rnacentral:rRNA from 1 species
UACGUAGGGGGCAAGCGUUGUCCGGAUUUAUUGGGCGUAAAGAGCGUGUAGGCGGCCAUGCAGGUCAGCUGUGAAAACUCGAGGCUCAACCUCGAGACGUCGGUUGAAACCGUAUGGCUAGAGUCCGGAAGAGGAGAGUGGAAUUCCCGGUGUAGCGGUGAAAUGCGCAGAUAUCGGGAAGAACACCCGUGGCGAAGGCGGCUCUCUGGGACGGUACUGACGCUGAGACGCGAAAGCUAGGGGAGCAAACAGG